GACAAAAGGUCAAAACGGCAUGCCGUUGAAAUAAAUUAAAAAUGAAGGAUUGCGAAUUUCUUUUCACAUAAUAACAAUCCACCUGAGCGACGAAGCUUGGCACUGCUCACAAAUGGAGGAAGAGACGAAGAAAAAACGUAUCGAAGAGGCAAAAACAGGGUUUGGUUUGCUAAGCGAAGAUAUAGUUGAAAAGAUACUGAGAAGAUUACCAGCCCCAUCGCUGGCAUCAGCGGCAUGCGUCAGCAAAUUAUGGUACCAGAAUUGCAAUCGAAUCCUUUCUCGACCAAAGCUCGCCUCUGCUAUAUCUCUCAACCCUUCCCUUGACAUUGCUGUUCAAGAGGUUCUUGAUAAAGUUCUCUCGGAGCCCAUUCGACCACAUUUUGCCAUUGCAAAUGGUUUUGGCAGUACCUUCUGCCUGCAGAAAGCAUUUGAUUUGUUAGCAGGAAAACUGGGUUCCAGGACUCCUCUUAUCGUAACCUGGGCCAAUGGAGUCAUGGGAAGAGAUGCUCUUACCAAUGAGUUCAGAGAGGUCAUGGGGGGAGAUGAUUGUAGUGAUUGUGAUGACAAGCAUAUGGAUGCCAAUUCUGGUAUCCUUUUGACUGUGGGCUUUUUACCUGGAUUGCAAGUUGAGGCCAUCCCUCUGUUAAGACGAACGCAGGCACCUCGAGUAUCAAUGGCUGAUGACCUUGUGGUGGACAUUCGGAGCUACACAGUUUUGGCUUCAGGUUGCACAUCGCCAGUUGGAAUCAUAAUGUUUGGAGGUGGAGAUAUUGACCUGAAACCUAUCAUUGAGAAAUUGGGUGAGAUUUUCUCAUUACAGCUUUCUUCUUUCUCAUGUUUGAUUUUACUCAUAGAAAAAGAUAUGAAUUUAACGUUUUGUCUCUGGGGAAUGUGGUAAACGAAAGAUGUAAUUUUUGCAUUUGAUAUCCCAUUCCCAAGCAAUUAAAGAGAUCAACAGUGGUAAUGUAUGGCUUAGUUGCUUUUAGGAUUCAUACCUUUUGAAAUUCCAAACAACAUAAAGUAUGUUUUCUUUUUUGUUUUACUUCUACAUUUGUUAAUUCUUUAUUUUAUUAUUCCCGUAUCUGCAAAGGCUGAGGUCUGUUUUAUGAUAUUUAUUGGUGAAAGUAGAUCCGUUUUGUUUUGUGUUUUAUUGUUGACUUUUAUGCUGGUGAAUAUGGGCCUACAACUUGGAAUAGCACUUAGAAUCAAUAGACAUUACAUUUUCUUGUAGAGAGUGUUGCUUUAGAUAUGGCUUUUUGGUUAUGUGAGUGGGCUUGAAGUGAACCUAGCAAUGAGAUCUGAAGUCUGAAAUUAUAUCUGGAUAAUUGAUAAAUUUAGAAUUCACUUAUUUCUUGGCCUAGAUGUUGAAACUUUUGCUAGAUUAUCUGUAUUCUGUAGCUAACUUGUGCAUUUGCUUCUAGUUCACGAUAUCUUGUAUAUUGCAGAUUAUGCCAUGGAGAAAGCUUUUGUACUUACUUAAAGUUCAUAAUGUGUUAUAAAUUGCAGAUUAUGCCAUGUUGAAGGAAACUAUUAUUGUUGGUGAUGAGAAAACUGAAUUUUUGUACAGAAGUGGCAUGGAAUCAAAAAAUGUCUGUGAGAGCAAGAAAUAUUUUUCUGAUGCUGUUGCUCUUGUGUUUGCAAGGGAUAGAGAAAAAGCUCAUGGUAGCUGUUUAUUCGUUUAUGUGGAUGCAAUUUCAUUCUCCUUUUGAAGCAGGGGUGGAACUACAUGGCCCCUCUAAAGUUUGCAAAAUUAUGUUUAAAUAGUUCUUGUUUUUGAAAAACAUUAUUGGUAUGGUACCUCAAAAUUUGGGAACUUUUAUCUAACUCCAACUCAAUUCAAUUCAACUAAGGGUGAGUUUGGUACGGGGUUAAUAAGUGUUAAUUAUUAAUCUUGUAAUUUUUAAUGCUGUUUGGAUGUUUUAAAGUAAAUAGGUUAAUUUUUAACCUCAUAAACAUUUAACUCUUUUUAGGGGUUAAAUGUUAGCCUUGUGAUGGGUAGGUUAAAUGUUAAUCUAACAGAAGUUAAACACACUAUUUAUAUAUUUCUUUCGUAUUUCUUCUCAACUUAUUUUAUUUUUUAGUCCCUUCAUCUCCAAAAACUCUUCGUCUCCUACAACAAUAAGAAGGUACGAUUUUUUUUUUCUUUUUUACAAAAUAAAUUGUGCUAGUACUAUAACCAUGGAUAUAUAUGACUUUCUUUUUCUUUUUUCUGUGGACGUUAUUUAUUUAUAUUGUUAAACUUCCAAAAUAUAUUUUGUGUUAUGCAGCUUUUUGUCAAGUUGUUCAGUGUGUGUGUAUAUAUAUAU
rnacentral:misc_RNA from 1 species